rnacentral:lncRNA from 1 species
CUAUCCUUAACUUUGAAUUUUAAGUUCAAACGUUAAGGACAUGAGGUCCUUAAGUUAAAGUACCAUAUUAAAAACGUAAUGACUGUCUGUCAUUAACUUUGAAUUUUAAGUUCAAAAGUUAAGGACAUGAGGUCCUUAAGUUAUAGUCUCAUGUUAAAAACUUGAGGACUGUCUGUCCUUAACUUUGAAUUUUAAGUUCAAACGUUAAGGACAUAGGUCCUUAAGUUAUAGUCCGAUGUUAAAAACUUGAGGACUGUUUGUCAUUAACUAUAGGAGUCCUUAAGUUUGAAAUACAAGUUCAAAAGUUAAGGACAUAAGGUCCUUAAGUUAUAGACCCAUGUUCAAAACUUAAGGACUGUCGGUCCUUAACUUUGAAUUUCAAGUUCAAAAGUUAAGGACAUUUGGCCAUUAACUUUGAAUUUGAAGUUCACUUAUACUU